rnacentral:misc_RNA from 1 species
CUUGGAAAUAUUUUGGGCCUAAGGCAAAACAACAUAAAGCAGAACUUAGGGAAAAUACUUGUCAACUGACAAACAUUCGAAAAAUAUUCCUUUGUCACACCUGUCUGCAACCAACAGAAAUCUAUCACAAUGAAUUGCAAUUGGUUCUGGAGUAUUCUCUGGUUUAUAAUCUUAUUGGUGUUUGGCCUUCCGAUUGGCCUUCUCUGUGCUAUCCUGUUUGUCUUGAUCAGUCCAUGUGCAGCCUGCUGUAAUGGCUGCGUAGAGCUAAUGAACCUCUUGGACAGAGGACUCAAACUGCCACUGACUUGUGCACAAAACAUGGUUGUGGGUAAAUCUCCAUGUUAAAAAAGGGAAGAAAAAAAUUUUUUUUAAAUCUAUGAAAUCCUGUCACCCGCCCCCUACCAACAUAACCGAUUCCCUCCAUCAUAAUUUAUAUAAAAACAUAAAAAAAAAA